GAUGAAGAACGUAGCGAAAUGCGAUACGUAAUGUGAAUUGCAGAAUUCAGUGAAUCAUCGAAUCUUUGAACGCACAUUGCGCCCGCCAGCACUCUGGCGGGCAUGCCUGUUCGAGCGUCAUUUCAACCAUCAAGCCCCAGGCUUGCGUUGGAGCCCUGCGGCUGCCGCAGCCUCCUAAAAGCAGUGGCGGGCUCGCUAUCACACCGAGUGCAGUAGAUUACUCUUCGCUCAGGGCGUGCAGCGGGUUCCGGCCGUGAAACCCCCUACUUUUAAAGGUUGACCUCGGAUCAGGUAGGAAUACCCACUGAACUUAAGCAUAUCAAUAAGCGGAGGA
rnacentral:misc_RNA from 1 species